rnacentral:pre_miRNA from 1 species
GAGACACCCUUCUGGGGCAAGACUUGCUUCAAUGGGGCUUUGGUGCUCACUGUGUCUGCCCCCUGAGUGUGUCCCU